rnacentral:misc_RNA from 1 species
GGUAGAAAUGGCCAGCCAAAGCAGGUAUGCUUGUUUUUGUUUCCCUUUAAAUUUUAUGGCAUAUCAAGAGCCAUUGAACCUUAUUUGAUCCCAAGCUUCAUUAGAUAUGAUGGGGAUGCUUCCAAAAUGAGCUUUCUAUUCUUUUACACCUGAUUUUAUCAUAUUGAUCAUUUUUCCUUAUGCGAUAUCCUCCAUCUCCAAUUCCAGACAAUAAGCUACAUGGCUGAG